CUCAUCUGAUUUUUGAAGACUCUCUCAACUGUUCUCUCCAUUUUCAACCCCAAGAACACCAAAGAAACUUGGAGGCUAAGUCUUGGUCUAGGAAGUAUUUUCCCUAAGGGUUUUUGAAAGGUUUUGGAGGAGCCAAAGCUAAUAGGAAGGUCCAAACCUUAAGCAAGAACACCAAAGAGGUAAGUGCAAGGGCAAGGCAGAGCAGUGAGCGCUGGAGUCUUCCUUGCAAAUGUACAUGUGGA